GCCUAUGGCCACACCACCCUAAAAACGCUCAAUCUCAUCUGAUCUCAGAAGCUAAGCAGGGUCGGGCUCAGUCAGUAUUUGGAUGAUUCUAAAAAGGGAGCUCUAUUUACU
rnacentral:rRNA from 14 species